rnacentral:rRNA from 1 species
CCUACGGGGCGCUGCAGUGAGGAAUAUUGGUCACUGGACGAGAGUCUGAACCAGCCAAGUAGCGUGAAGGAUGACUGCCCUAUGGGUUGUACACUUCUUUUAUAUGGGAAUAAAAUGUUCCACGUGUGGGAUUUUGUAUGUACCAUAUGAAUAAGGAUCGGCUAACUCCGUGCCAGCAGCCGCGGUAAUACUGAGGAUCCGAGCGUUAUCCGGAUUUAUUGGGUUUAAAGGGAGCGUAGGUGGAUUGUUAAGUCAGUUGUGAAAGUUUGCGGCUUAACCGUAAAAUUGAAGUUGAAACUGGCAGUCUUGAGUACAGUAGAGGUGGGCGGAAUUCGUGGUGGAGCUGUGAAAUGCUUAGAUAUCACGAAGAACUCCGAUUGCGAAGGCAGUUCACUGGACUGCAACUGACACUGAGGCUCGAAAGUGUGGGUAUCAAACAGGAUUAGAUACCCCAGUAGUC